rfam:Thiocapsa roseopersicina hup operon, complete sequence; and ParA (parA) and hypothetical protein genes, complete cds.
GAACUCCCGCCUGGGUAAUCGCUAGCCACGAGCCCGGUAUCGAGCCUUGCGGCGCGGCUGGUAACAGCCGCGUCGAUGCGUAGGCACGACAGCAGGCGAGGUGCAAAGGUAACGGGUGGAGCCGACCUUGAAGGUGUUGAGCCCCGAAACAUUUGGUCGGGAGUGCCGACGGGUUUGUCCCUCCGGCAGGCAACAGUCCGUGUCGCGUCAUGGCGAGUGGCACGGGUACUCCCCGGGGUCCGAGGCCG